rnacentral:lncRNA from 1 species
GUGUAACCACUUAGGAUAAUCUGCAUCGUCGUCGUUAUAAUCAACCUGCAAAAGUAAAGAGAAUGUUAAUGAAAUACAAAUUAUGUAUAAAAAAAGUUUGAGUUAAUACCUGAUUCCGCAACCACUUAAUGAAGUGUUGAUCUUUCCUUUUGUCUACGUCACUUGUGGAUAUACCAGGAAAUGUUUCUUCGACUUGAGAAAUAAAUAGGCUGUAAAAUCACAUUUUAUAGGAAUGAAUCUC